AACGAACGCUGGCGGCGUGCCUAACACAUGCAAGUCGAACGAGAAAGCCCCUUCGGGGGUGAUUAAAGUGGCGGACGGGUGAGUAUCGCGUGGGUAAUUUACCUUCCAGUGGGGGACAACUUGCCGAAAGGCGGGCUAAUACCGCAUGAUGUGGCUGGUUCAUAAGGGCCGGCCACCAAAGGUGGCCUCUGCUUGCAUGCUAUCACUGGAAGAUGAGCCCGCGUCCCAUUAGCUUGUUGGCGGGGUAAUGGCCCACCAAGGCAACGAUGGGUAGCCGACCUGAGAGGGUGACCGGCCACACUGGGACUGAGACACGGCCCAGACUCCUACGGGAGGCAGCAGUGGGGAAUAUUGCGCAAUGGGCGAAAGCCUGACGCAGCAACGCCGCGUGAGUGAUGAAGGCCUUCGGGUCGUAAAGCUCUGUCG
rnacentral:rRNA from 1 species